AACGAACGCUGGCGGCGCGCCUAAUACAUGCAAGUCGAGCGAGAAGACGUAGCAAUACGUUUGUAAAGCGGCGAACGGGUGAGGAAUACAUGGGUAACCUACCCUCGAGUGGGGAAUAACUAGCCGAAAGGUUAGCUAAUACCGCGUACGCUCCUUGGACUUCGGUUCAGGGAGGAAAGCGAUACCGUGGGUAUCGCGCUCUUGGAUGGGCUCAUGUCCUAUCAGCUUGUUGGUGAGGAACGGCUCACCAAGGCUUCGACGGGUAGCUGGUCUGAGAGGACGAUCAGCCACACUGGCACUGCGACACGGGCCAGACUCCUACGGGAGGCAGCAGUAAGGAAUAUUGCGCAAUGGGCGAAAGCCUGACGCAGCGACGCCGCGUGGGGGAUGAAGGUCUUCGGAUUGUAAACCCCUUUCGGGAGGGAAGAUGGAACGAGCAAUCGUUCGGACGGUACCUCCA
rnacentral:rRNA from 1 species